rnacentral:lncRNA from 1 species
AAUAAAAUUCUAUAUUUUCAUAUCUAUAGAAGAAUGUAUAUAAAAAUCUUUAGUGAAAGUUAAGAACUCAUUGAAAGUAAUUGAUUCUAUUUUGAAACCUUUUUGUUUUCUCGAACUUUCUCACUUUUUAUUUUCUCUGAAUUAUUAUACAGACCCCCAUGUAUAUCUUUCUCUUAACCCAAUAGAGAAAAUUGCUUAAUGAAAUUUUGUAUGACUAACUGUGAAUUUUUAGCGAUGCAAAAUUGGUUCUUUUCUUUCUAUUUUGUCGUCAAAAUCCCUUUUUUG